rnacentral:tRNA from 1 species
GUUUUAAUAGUUUAAAUAAAACAUUGGUCUUGUAAACCAAAAAUAAGUAUAACUUUUAAAACU